AGAGAUGUGUGAUGACGCAUAUCAAUAAGCGGAGGAAAAGAAACUAACAAGGAUUCCCCUAGUAACGGCGAGUGAAGCGGGAAGAGCUCAGAUUUGAAAUCUUAAAGGGUUUCCCUUGACGAAUUGUAGUUUAAAGAAGUGUUUUCUGUUAGAGAGGUUCGGUAAAAGUUCUUUGGAAUAGGACAUCAUAGAGGGUGAGAAUCCCGUAUUUGAUCAUUCUUUCUAACGUUGUGAUACACUUUCAACGAGUCGGAUUGUUUGGGAAUGCAGUCCAAAGUGGGUGGUAAAUUUCAUCUAAAGCUAAAUAUUGGCGAGAGACCGAUAGCGAACAAGUACCGUGAGGGAAAGAUGAAAAGAACUUUGAAAAGAGAGUUAAACAGUACGUGAAAUUGUCAAAAGGGAAGCGUUUGACACCAGUGUUGUUUUUCCGAAAAUCAAUUACUGAAUGGUUUGAUUUUAAGUUCAUGACCUUCAAUCGCUUGCUUCUUUCUUUACGAUACUUUCGUAAUGCACUUUUCGGUUAACAAGUCAACAUCAAUUUCUUUUGUUGUAAAAGGGUACGAGGAAGGUGGCUUUACUUUCGGAGAAAGUGUUUAUAGCCUUGUACCUCUGCAAUCGGAGAGAUUGAGGUCUGCAGCGUAGAUCCUUCGGGGUUAGAUACAUUUGUGCUAAGUUAUAGCUUUUCAUAGACAACUUGUUGACUAUGUUUAGUCUUGUAGCUUACUCGCUAUGCUAUUUUACCUACGCUUAGGAUGUUGACGCAUGAGAUAUACGC
rnacentral:rRNA from 1 species